rnacentral:rRNA from 1 species
UACGUAGGUCGCAAGCGUUGUCCGGAUUUACUGGGCGUAAAGAGCGCGCAGGCGGCUGGCCAAGUCCGAUGUGAAAUCUCCCGGCUUAACCGGGAAACUGCAUCGGAAACUGGUCGGCCUGAAGGUGGGAGAGGGUAGCGGAAUUCCCGGUGUAGUGGUGAAAUGCGUAGAUAUCGGGAGGAACACCAGUGGCGAAGGCGGCUACCUGGCCCAUUCUUGACGCUGAGGCGCGAAAGCUAGGGGAGCGAACGGG